UUAAAUUUAUUUAACAACAUAACACAUAAUCAAAAUAUAUAUCCUGUUAAUGUGCAAAACAGGACAUCACAAAUGCCUAGAAUAAAUUAUUGUCUUUCUUCAUCAAUUUAUACACAUACAGGUACAUCUUGCAGCCACACAUAGCAUUCACAAAUAAUAUUUCAUACUGUAACGACCUAAUAUGGGUCAAAUAAAUCAACAGAAAAUUUAUUUACAUGAAUUUUUAUCAACAUAAGGAUAAACCUUCAUACCAUUGUAUGAUAUUUAACCGUUAAACUAGGUUUUUAACCAGUUAUGCUACUUGAAAUCGCCAAACUAUGUAUAAUUCAUUAUGCAUAAUUAUUUCAUAACAUAAACUCUUUUUCUAUUAAACAAAACUUUUGAAGCUUUUAAAUUAAUACUGCUUUUUAAAGUUUUUCUUUUCAUAACAUUUUGCCAACAGUACAAAUAUAUUACAGUGCUGUCAGAUAAUGGUAACAGUUUACUUUAAAUAUUUGUAUUUGAUAUCCGCUUUAAUACUGCCGCCUUAUACUUCCUUUGUAGCAAUUGUGUUAUGUUUGAUGUCAAACACUACGAUUUUCAUAUCUUAUUCAAUAUUAUGAACCUAUUCCAAUAAAAAAAAACACUAGUAACAUACUUCUUCAAUUUUUCAAUUACUUCUUAUUCAGUGCUCAAUAUUUCCAAAUUCUUAAACAGUAAUUAUACCACCAAUUAC
rnacentral:lncRNA from 1 species